rnacentral:snoRNA from 1 species
GGCCUCCUAGUGCUUACCACAGGCUGUGUUCUUACACUGACUGUAUAGAUAAGGAGGAGGAAAAGUAAACAUACCUCAUAUACAUUUCAACCCAGGCCCUGUGCCUGGUCUGUAUUGUGAAUAGGACGACAUGU